AAGUCGUACAAGGUCUCCGUAGGUGAACCUGCGGAAGGAUCAUUAACACGUUUCUAUCAUAAAACGUAAACAACCACGAGAACUAAGUUAAAUCGAUCCAGACUUUGCAUGUGAAUUGACAAUCUGACGAGACAUGAUGUGGGAGAUGGCAACGUCGCCCGUCUUGCGGAUUCCAGUUGUUGCUUCGGCAACAGACAAUUGUGAUGCUAUAGUCUAGGACAAACAUCUUGCUUGAGGUCAUGCGCAUCACAUCUGCGUAGGCGCAAGCGAGGUAACCCACAUACCAACACAAACCUAUUUCACCCACACUUUUUGCUAGUUGACUUUAAUUCCGCUGAGAGAUCGUCUGAUCGAUCACGAAGUGGCGUUUAAUCUAAUUGAACGUAAAAAUGUACAACUCUUAGCAAUGGAUAUCUUGGUUCUC
rnacentral:misc_RNA from 1 species